UACGAAGGGAGCUAGCGUUGUUCGGAAUCAUUGGGCGUAAAGCGCGCGUAGGCGGCCCGAUAAGUCCGCUGUAAAAGUCCAGGGCUCAACCCUGGAAAGCCGGUGGAUACUGUCGGGCUAGAGUCCGGAAGAGGCGAGUGGAAUUCCUGGUGUAGCGGUGGAAUGCGCAGAUAUCAGGAGGAACACCGAUGGCGAAGGCAGGUCUCUGGGCCACUACUGACGCUGAGAAGCGAAAGCAUGGGGAGCGAACAGG
rnacentral:rRNA from 1 species